rnacentral:rRNA from 1 species
UGGGGAAUAUUGGACAAUGGGGGGAACCCUGAUCCAGCCAUGCCGCGUGUGUGAAGAAGGCCUUAUGGUUGUAAAGCACUUUAAGCGAGGAGGAGGGUACUGGUAUUAAUACUACCAGCUACUGGACGUUACUCGCAGAAUAAGCACCGGCUAACUCUGUGCCAGCAGCCGCGGUAAUACAGGGGGUGCGAGCGUUAAUCGGAUUUACUGGGCGUAAAGCGUGCGUAGGCGGCUAAUUGAGUCGGAUGUGAAAUCCCCGAGCUUAACUUGGGAAUUGCAUUCGAUACUGGUUAGCUAGAGUGUGGGAGGGGAUGGUAGAAUUCCAGGUGUGGCGGUGAAAUGCGUAGAGAUCUGGAGGAAUACCGAUGGCGAAGGCAGCCAUCUGGCCUAACACUGACGCUGAGGUACGAAAGCAUGGGGAGCAAACAGG